UAACAGGGUCAUUUGGGAAAGUGGUUAGGGCAGUUAAACAAAACUGUGCAUGUAUAUGCAUCACUGUCAGUGAUAAAGAAUUAAUUUUGUGCUAUUUUGUUCAUCUAAUUGUGCUAUUUGUUUAGAUGACCUCAGACGUACAAAUUCUUAUAUUUCAUGAACUUCCCAGUCUCAAGUUUUCAUGUUGAGUGUACUUUCAGGACUAAUGUUCAUAUAUCAUACCUUUAAACACAGGCUUUGUAGAACUUUGAGCUUACACCAUAAUUAAGCUCAUUAUGUAUACGUAUUAAUAAUACGUACAAUACUGUUGCUUCACAAAAUAUAUAGUACUGUAUGUAUGAGGAAAAGAAAAAGACAACAAAGUUUGUGUGCUGGUAUUAUUCAGACAAAUUUACAGACUGGUUGAUAUACCAAACAUCCAUUUAGGUUAGAGAGAAUAGUGCAAUAUAAUCUAUGUAGCUUAUACUGCAGUUUUAAUAGAAAAAAUAAUCUUUUUGGGGUGACCAGCAUUCCCAAAUUUCAACGAUUUGUCUUCACUUACCUUAAAAAAAAAAAUUAUUCACCCAACUUUACAACAUUAUUGGUAUAUUUGUGUAAAUGCUGAUUUCAAGUAUAACUUAAUCAGUUCAAAUGC